ensembl:rRNA 5S_rRNA 5S ribosomal RNA
GCAUACGAUUAAACUACCCUGAGAAUGCCUGAUCUCGGAAGCUAAGCAGGAAGUUGCCUGGUGAGUAUUUGGAUGGAAGACCACCAGGGAACAUAAGGUGCUAUAAGCU